rnacentral:rRNA from 1 species
CGACCGUCAGCGGCAAACGCGCUCGAACCUCGCGUUCGGGUGCAUCAAGCUCUGACGAGUAGGAGGGUCGCGGCGGUGAGCGCAGAAGGGCUGGCCGCGAGGCCGUCUGGAGCCGCCGUCGGUGCAGAUCUUGGUGGUAGUAGCAAAUACUCCAGCGAGGCCCUGGAGGACUGACGUGGAGAAGGGUUUCGUGUGAACAGCCGUUGCACACGAGUCAGUCGAUCCUAAGCCCUAGGCGAAAGCCGAUGUCGAUGCGGUGUACGUGUAAACGAUAAUAAUAAUAGUAGUAGCGGAGCGCGUAAGUGAUAUUAUUAGAUAAAAAUAACACGCUCGCGCCGUUACGAAAAAUAUAUUAACGAUAUAAAAACGAACACACUCGUCGGGCGAAAGGGAAUCCGGUUCCUAUUCCGGAACCUGGCAGCGGAACCGUUAAUAAGUCGGGC